GCGGGCGUGGCGGAACUGGCAGACGCACGGGACUUAGGAUCCCGUGGCCGCAAGGCCGUGCAGGUUCGAUUCCUGUCGCCCGCA
rnacentral:tRNA from 1 species